ACAGUACAAUCGGCUACAUGACUGGAGCAGUCUACACGUGGAGCAGAUCAAUGCUACAAGGACACUUCAUCAAUUACAGUCCAACCUUGGCGAGAUUGAGAAAUGCAGGAACCAGGUUGAGGUCGGAGACCUCCAGGGUUUUGAUGGGAAGAUUGAACCCGUGAAGACAUUUGCCCUAAAUUCAUUGGCAGAGUUCCUUCCCUUGUGUAACAAAUCAGGUCAAGGUGAGAUUGAGGAGGGUUUCAUACAUACACAGAGGAAUGAGCGGCAUGAAGACAUUGAAGUGGAGCAGUCCUCGGACUUUUUAGAUGAGGUUAUGUUUGAGCGGCCUGAAGA